GAUGAGGUUUGUCCGGUGGCAAUCGGUUUGGUUAUUUGUUAUAUACAUCUCCUUACCCUUGAAUUGUUAAAAAUUGGUUCAUCUUAUUUGUUUUUGAUUUGUGAGAUUCAAUUCGAUCGGGACAAGCGGGAGCGAUCAGUGUUUGGGAGUUCUUUCUGGGUUUUUGUUUUGUGAGAUUCAAUUCCCAAUUAGUUCUGUUUCUCUUCGAAUUUCUGAUUCGUUGUUUGUAUGUCAAUGUCGGCAAUGUCCGGGUAAUGAUCAUAGGGGAACGCCUGGUCUCAAUGUUCUUAUCCUUUCUUUCCUUCCUUCCUUCCUUGUGUGUGGUUUAUUUAUUUAUUUAUUUUGUUCUCAUCCUGUUUCUUGUGUAGUACAGUUAUAUGAGUUCUUAAUUGCAAUCCUUUGAUUAAUUUUCAAUUUUAAGAAAUUCAAAGCUGGUGAGGUCCAUUCUUAGAUGCGAUUUUGGGGAAUUAAGCUUUGCCGAUUCUGAGGUUUUCGUUGUGAGAUUUCCCCUAUGCUAUGAUCUCUGUGUUUAUGUUUUAUGUUUCCCCUGUUGAAAAGGUGUGGUGUUAGUUGUCAAGAUAACACGGAUGGGCAUCUAAAUACAAUGCUUCGAUGUUUGUGGUCGGCAAGUUGCAGCAGUUCCCAGGUCUUUGGAAAUAGGUAUUGGAUAUUUCGGUCUCUUGGAGCUUUGUCAAAACUGCUGAUAUGUGGAAGUUCAGAUGCUUACUUUCUAUGAUGAUCCGACUUAUGGUUAUGGACACCCGUUAAGUACUCAAAAGUAAUCCUGGAUCUUUGAUAGAGCCAUGAAGUGCUCCUUUACUUUUGGGUUUCUAGCUACUUAUUUUCUCUCUGCUUCCGUUUUCUUUUGAUUAUCACACCAGCUUGAUUUUGUUUGUUGGAUGAAUCCGUAGAUCACACGGUGACAGAUAAAGAGGAUUAGAUUUGGAAAAUUUGUAUUCGUUCGUGUGCAAGUCCUUUUCGUGCCUGCACUGCAAUCUGGAUAAAAAGGGGGUUUCGAAUCUUGUCUUGGGCAUCUUUUCUAGUGAUUUCUUAGGUGGUAUGGGUUUCAUCAGCGUUGCUGUUCUUUUAACUGUUCCCUUCUUUCUGUGUUUGCAGCAGUCAUUGGGUCUUGCAGAGCCAUGAAUUGUGCUUUCAUGGACGGUCUUGUUUGUUCAUUUGUGUCAAGGUUCCUUUAGUUCAGACUUUUAUGAGUAAGAAGAUUUUCAUUUCUCAACCAAAAUAGUUUUUUUUUUUUUCAACUAGUGUUGUAUUUUGCUGCCAUUUUUAGUUUUUUAGUCCAAAUUCUUAUGGCUCUGACCAUCCAACUGAUGGGGCCCUGGUGGGUGAUGGUUAUGGACACCUGAUUAAGCACUUGAAGUCAGUUCUGGAUAUUUCGAUAGCCCCGUAAAGUGCUCCUCUCUUUUGGUGUUCUCGCUGCUUAUUUUCUCUGCUGCCGUUUCUUCUGUUUAUCACGCAAGCUUGAUUUUGUUUGUUGGAUGGAUGUGUGGUAACAGUUAAGAGGAUUAGAUUUGAAAUGGAAAUUUCAAAGGUUGGUGUCCAGUAUGUGUUUGUGUGCAGUUCUUCGUUGUUUAAUAUGUCGAAAGUUUGGAAAAUAAGUCAAAUUUCCAGAUCAAGAGGUUGAGGUCUGAAUUCCAGUGGAGAAUACAUGUCAAAGGUGUUUGCUGGUUUAUUGCCAUUUUGGUGCUUGUGACAAAAAGGGGGUUUCGAAUCUUGUGUCUGGCAUUUUUCCUAGUGAUUUCUUAGGUAGUAGGGGUUACAUCAGCUUUGCACUUAACUGUUCCCUUCUUUCUGUGCUUGCAGCAGCCAUUACAGAGCCAUGAAUUAUGCUUUUCAUGGAACGGCCUUGUUUGUCCAUUUGUGUUGAGGUUCCUUUAGUUCAGGCCUUUAUGAGUACAGAUAUUUUCAUUUCUCAACCAAAAUAUUUUUAUUCACUAGUGUUUGUUGUAUUCUUCUGCCAUUUUUAGUUUUUUAGUACAGAUGCUUAUGUUCUUUGACCAUCCAACUGAUGAGGCCCUGGUGGUUGAUGGUUAUGGACACCUGGUUGAGUACUUGAAGAUGUUCUGGAUAUUUCGAUAGCCCCGUAAAGUGCUCCUCUUUUUUGGUGUUCUUGCUGCUUAUUUUCUCUGCUGCCAUUUCUUCUGUUUAUCACGCGAGCUUGUUUUGUUUGUUGGAUGGAGUGUGGUCACAGUUAAAGGGGAUUAGAUUUGGAAAAUGGAAAUUUCAAAGAUUGGUACUUGCACUACAAUCUGGAUAUUGUCUUGCUUCGAUAAAAAGGGGGUUUUUGAAUCUUGUCUCGCGCAUUUUUUCUAUUGAUUUCUUCGGUGGUAUGGUUACAUCAGCUUUGCACUUAAUUCUUCCCUUCUUUCUGUGCUUGCAGCAGCCAUUGGGUCUUACAGAGCCAUGAAUUAUCCUUUUCAUGGAGCGGCCUUGUUGUCCGUUUGUGUUGAGGUUUCUUUAGUUCAGUCUUUUAUGAGUACAAAAAUUUUCAUUUCUCAACUGUAAUAGUUUUUUUUUUUUUUAACUAGUGUUUGGUGUAUUUUGCUGCCAUUUUUAGUUUUUAAUCCAGAUGCUUAUGGUCUUUGACAAUCCAACUGUUGAGGCCCUGGUUGUUGAUGGUUAUGAACACACCUGAUUAAGUACUCAAAGUCAGUUUUGGAUAUUUCAAUAGCCCUGUAAAGUGCUCCUCUUGUUUGGUGUUCUCGCUGCUUAUUCUCUGCAUCCGUUUUCUUUGCAAUUAGUUCUGUUUCUUUUUUAAAUUGUUGAUUUGUGAUUCGUUGUUUGUUUGUCAACGUGCAAAUGUUUGAUCAGGUCUGGGUAAUGAUCAUAGGAUAACGUUUUAGGUACCUUGGUCUUAAUGUUCUUAUCCUUUCUUUCCUUCUUUGUCUGUGGUUUAUUUAUUUAUUUUGUUCUCAUCCUGUUUCUUGUUUUUACAGUUAUCUGAGUUCCUAAUUGCAAUCCUUUGAUUAAUUUUCAAUUUUAAGAAAUUCAAAGCUGGUGAGGUCCAUUCUUAGAUGCAAUUUUGGGGAAUUUAGCUUUGGCGAUUUUGAGGUUUUUGUUAUGUUUCCCCUUGAUGAUUGGAUGUUGCUCUUAUUCCGUAUUUUGAAAAGGUGUGCUGAUGCACCUUGUUUUGUUGUGAGAUAUCCUCUAUCACUCCUUUGAAACCUUGCAAUUUCCUUUUGUUGAAUUAGAAUACAAGUAGAACUGGAAAUGUCGAUCCCCAUGCCGCACUCAACCACAGGGUGGAGCUAUCAGUUUGAAUUUGAUAUCUUGACUUUCAUUCUUUAAGCUAAAUUUGAUGCCAGUGUAGUUUUACUCCUUGAAUCUACUUUGUUUACCUUCUUAUUCGGCUCGGUCAUCAAUGGAUCUCAUUUCGACGUGUGGUGUCAAGAUAACAUGGAUGGGCAUCUAAAUGCAAUGCUUCGGUGUUUGUUGUCGGGAAGUUGCAGCAGUUCCCAGGUCUUUGGAAAUAGUAUAUUUCGGUCUCUUGGAGCUUUGUCAAAACUGCUGCUAUGUGGAAGUUCAGGUGCUUACUUUUUUUGAUGAUCCGACUUAUGGUUAUGGACACCUGUUAAGUACUCAAAAGUCAAUCCUGGAUUUUUGAUAGUGCCGUGAAGUGCUCCUUUACUUUUGGGUUUCUAGCUACUUUUCUCUCUGCUUCCGUUUUCUUUUGGUUGUCACACCAGCUUGAUUUUGUUUGUUGGAUGAAUGCGUAGAUCGCACGGUGACGGACAGAGGAUUAGAUUUGGAAAAUUUGUAUGCUUUCGUGUGCACGUCCUUUUCGUGCCUGCAAUGCGAUCUGGAUAUUAUCGGGCUUCGAUGAAAAGGGGGUUUCGAAUCUUGUCUCUGGCAUCUUUUCUAGUGAUUUUUUAGGUAGUAGGGAUUACAUCAGCUUUGCACUUGACUGUUCCCUUCUUUCUGUGCUUGCAGCAGCCAUUGCAGAGCCAUGAAUUAUGCUUUUCAUGGAACGGCCUUGUUUGUCCAUUUGUGUUGAGGUUCCUUUCGUUCAGGCCUUUAUGAGUACAGAUAUUUUCAUUUCUCAACCAAAAUAGUUUUUUUCAGUAGUGUUUGCUGUAUUCUGCUGCCAUUUUUAGUUUUUAGUACAGAUGCUUAUGUUCUUUGACCAUCCAACUGAUGGGCCCCUUGUGAUUGAUGGUUAUGGCCAUCUGAUUAAGACUUGAAGUCAGUUCUGGAUAUUUCGUUAGCCCCGUAAAGUGCGCCUCUUUUUGGUUUUCUCGCUGCUUAUUUUCUCUGCUGCUGUUUCUUCUGUUUAUCACACAAGCUUGAUUUUGUUUGUUGGAUGGAUGUGUGAGGAGGAUUAGAUUUGAAAGAGAAAGUUUCAAAGGUUGGUGGCCAGUAUGCGUUUGUGUGCACCCGGUUUCUUGCCAUUUUGGUGCUUGCACUACAAUCUGGAUAUUGUCGGGCUUCGACAAAAAGGGGGUUUCGAAUCUUGUGUCUGGCAUUUUUCCUAGUGAUUUCUUAGGUAGUAGGGGUUACAUCAGCUUUUGUACUUAACUGUUCCCUUCUUUCUAUGCUUGCAGCAGCCAUUGGGUCUUACAGAACCAUGAAUGCUUUUUGUGGAACGGCCUUGUUUGUCCAUUUGUGUCGAGGUUCCUUCAGCUCAGGCUUUUAUGAGUACAUAAUUAUCAUUUCUCAACCAAAAUAGUUUUUUUCACUAGUGUUUGUUUAUUCUGGUGCCAUUUUUAGUUUUUUAGUACAGAUGCUUAUGUUCUUUGACCAUCCAACUGAUGAGGCCCUGGUGGUUGAUGGUUAUGGACACCUGAUUAAGUACUUGAAGUCAGUUCUGGAUAUUUCGAUAGCCCCGUAAAGUGCUCUCUCUUUGGUGUUCUCGCUGCUUAUUUCUCUGCUGCCGUUUUUCUGUUUAUCUGUGCUUGAUUUUGUUUGUUGGAUGGAUGUGUGGUAACAGUUGAAGAGGAUUAGAUUUGGAAAUUUCAAAGGUUGGUGUCCAGUAUGCGUUUGUGUGCACCCUGUUUCUUGCCAUUUUGGUGCUUGCACUACAAUCUGGAUAUUGUCUUUGCUGCGACAAAAAGGGGGUUUCGAAUCUUGUCUCUGGCAUUUUUCCUAGUGAUUUCUUAGGUAGUAUGGGUUACAUCAGCUUUGCACUUAACUCUUCCCUUCUUUCUGUGCUUGCAGCCAUUGAGUCUUUCAGAGCCAUGAAUUAUUCUUUUCAUGGAGCGGCUUGUUUGUCCAUUUGUGCUGAGGUUUCUUUAGUUCAGGCUUUUAUGAGUACAUAAAUUUUCAUUUCUCAACUACAAUAGUUUUUUCGCUAGUGUUGUAUUCUGCUGCCAUCUUUGUUUUUAGUCCAGAUGCUUAUGUUCUUUGACCAUCCAACUGAUGAGGCCCUGGCGGUUGAUGGUUAUGGACAUCUGAUUAAGUUCUAAAGUCAGUUCUGGAUAUUUUGUUAGCCCCGUAAAGUGCUCCUUUGUUCUGGUUUUCUCGCUACUUAUUUUCUCUGUUUCCGUUCUCUUCUGUGAAUCACGCAGCUUGAUUUUGUUUCUUGGAUGGAUGUCUGGUAACAGUUAAGAAAAUUAGAUUUGGAAAUUUCAGAGGUUGGUGUCCAGUAUGCGUUUCUGUGCACCCGGUUUCUUGCCAUUUUGGUGCUUGCACUACAAUCUGGAUAUUGUCUUGCUGCGACAGAAAGGGGGUUUCGAAUCUUGCCUCUAGCAUUUUUUCUAGUGAUUUCUUAGGUUUGUUUCUUGGAUGGAUGUGUGGUAACAGUUAAGAGGAGUAGAUUUAGAAAUUUCAAAGGUUUGGUGUCCAGUAUGCAUUUGUGUGCACCCUGUUUCUUGCCAUUUUGGUGCUUGCACUACAAUCUGAUCUUGCUUCGACAAAAAGGUGGUCUCAAAUCUUGUCUCUGGUAUUUUUCCUAGUGAUUUCUUAGGUGGUAGGGGUUACUUCAGCUUUGCUCUGAACUGUUCCCCUCUUUCUGUGCUUUCAGUAGCCAUUGGGUCUUACAGAGCCAUGAAUUAUUCUUUUCAUGGAGCGGCCUUGUUUGUUCAUUUGUGAGGUUUCUUUAGUUUAGGCUUUUAUGAGUACAGAAAUUUUCAUUUCUCAACUAAAAUAGUUUUCUCUCUCUAGUGUUUGUUGUGUUCUGCUGCCAUUUUUAGUGUUUAGUCCAGAUGCUUAUGUUCUUCGACGAUCCAACUGAUGAGGCCUUGGUGGUUGAUUAUGGACCUGAUUAAGUACUCUGUUCAGUUCCGGAUAUUUCGAUAGCCCCGUAAAGUGCUCCUCUCUUUUGUUGUUCCCGCUGCUUAUUUUCUCUGCUGCUGUAUUCUUCUGUUUAUCAGGCUAGCUUGAUUUUGUUCGUUGGAUGGAUGUGCAUUCCUCUACACCCUGUUCCUUGCCAUUUUGGUGCUUGUACUCCAAUCUGGAUAUUGUCAGGCUUCGACAAAAAAGGGGGUUUUCAACCUGGCUCUUGCAUAUCUAGUGAUAUCUGAGGUGGUAUGGGUUUUGUCAGCUUUGCACUUAACUGUUCCCUUCUUUCUGUGCUUGCAGCCAUGAGCAGUGACUUCUUUUCGUGGAGCGAUCAUGUUUGUCUAUUUGAGCUAAGGUUCUUUAGUUCAGUCUUUUAUGAGUAUCGAGAUUUUCAUUCAGUUCUCUUUCCUAAUGGUCCCUGUUCUCUUUGUUGAAAGUUGAAACUACUGUUGUAUUGAAGUUUCUCAAAGAUAAUAUUUUUCACCAGUGUGUUAUAUUCUGCUGCGAUGAAGUUUUAACUCCAGAUGCUUAUGUUCUUCGAUGAUCCAACCGCUGAGGUGUCUCCUAUGGUUAUAAACACCCGAUCAUAUGGUGACAGUAACAGAGGUUAAGAUUUGGAAAUUUCGAAGGUUGGUAUCCAGUAUGCGUUCCUCUGCACCCUCUUGGUCUUUUUGGUGCUUGCACUGCAAUCUGGAUUUGUCCGGGCUUCGACAAAAAGGGGGUUUUCAAUCUUGUUUAUGGCAAAUCUAGUAUUUUCUAAGUGGUUUGGGUUUCGUCAGCUUUGCACUUAACUGUUCCCUUCUUUCUGUGCUUGCAGCCAUUGGGUUUUCGGAGCAGUGAAUUACCCUUUUUUGGAACAGCCUUGUUUGUACAUUUGUGUUGAGGUCUCUUUAGUUCAGUCUUUCAUUAGCAUCGAGAUUUUCAAUUCAGUUUUCUUGGCUAAAAGCUCCCUUUUCUCUUUGUCAAACUACUGUUGUGUGGAGGUUCAAACAAGAUAAUAUAUUUCACCAGUGUGUUGUAUUCUGCUGCCAUGAGGUUCUUGGUCCAGAUACUUAUGUUCUUCGAUGAUCCAACUGAUGAGGUCUCUUAUGGUUAUUGACAGCUGAUAGCGCUGUAAAGUGCUCCUCCACUUUUGGUCUUCUAGCCUUUUAUCUUCUUUGCUUCCAGUUUCUUUUGGUGAUCUCGCUGCUUAUUUUCUCUGCUUCCGUUUUCUUCUGUGUAUCACACGAGCUUGAUUUUGUUUGUUGGAUGGAUGUGUGGUAAGAGU